UCUGGGACCCAGGGACAGAGCCCUGCUGUGCCGUCAGAGCAAGCCUCACGCCUUUCUCACAGCAGUACCACCUUCAAGAUGGGAAAGUUACACAACCUCAUUUCUGCAUUCACAGAGGGACAGCGUGUGCCUGGCUACAAUGACAAAAGGUAAUUUCAGCCCAAAGGAUUAUGAAGCACAAUGGACACAGACCCUCCUGUGACUGACAGCCCCAAGCAAAACCAGCGUCUGAGGUCAGCAGGCCGUGCCUGGCCCCCCAAAAGCUCCUGUCCCGCCUGUUACCAGAUGUCCUCACAAGACACACCCUGCACAGGGCCGCGGGUGGCCAAGACGCAGUGAAGGCAGGUCUCCUCACCACGGCUGCAGGAGGCACCAGGCCUGUCACUCACCUGCCUUCUGCUCCAAGGGCCCAGCACCCCGAGAUCCUGAUGUCAGGCUUUCCUCCUGACUAUUUCCGACAACAUGGAGACAGCUGGCUCUGGAGACAGGAGCUCAGGGACGAGAAAAUCCCACGCAGGCUCACGCUCCUGAGAGCUGCUUCAGAGGCAGCCUGUCGUGACCACCCAGUGAGCAAGGGUAUGUCUACCCCCUGCAGAGGCACCCCGGGGCAGGACUGACCUGGCUUUACCCAUCCCUCCUGACUGCAGCCUGGGCAGAUAAGCAGAUGUCAGCCUGCGCUCAGGGAGGCUGGAGUUGCCCGGGACAGGGCCUCCGCGCAUACCUGACACCCUGCCCAGGUUACUGGGACCCUCUCCUUCCCACUGAUCUGGAUGGGUCCAGCCAGCCUUCUCGGACUGCAGUCUCCACCUGGACUGCACCAAGAAACACAACCACAAGAACCUUGGAGGUCGCCCACACCAGGCGGGCAGCAGGAAAGCACGGUGCACCACCCCAGCCCCAAAACCACGACCCCUGGAGCCUUGAGUGGGGCAGGGGUAGAGGGCCUGAGUCCGUGCUGAUCGCAGAACAA